rnacentral:rRNA from 1 species
GGCCUCAUUUGGUUUCACAGUUUCCCCCCGGGAUCCCUGCUUAUUCCCCGGGCUGGGAACCCACGAGCCAAGUUGGCCCUGGGUGAUCUACCCGGCCAUUUGGUGGCCCACGAUAUCGGGGAGCCCCGGCCCCUUCCACGUCUUUUCCCUGGGACAAACUUCCACGCCUGGAGUGGCCGGGGAGGAAACCCUCGAUCUCUUGGUCUCGCGAACGAGAGGCGGCGGCGGCGGCAAGAUCCAAGCACGACGCGCCACCACGCUCCGCCCUCCUCCGGCCAAAGCUCCGCCCGACAACUGGAAGCGAAGCACCGCCACGCUCCGGCCUGUACCUCCACGCUCCGUCCCUCCGGCGGGGGCGACGACGACCGGGCUCGUCAUCCCCUUCUUCCCGGAUCUCGUCUCUCCCUCAAAGCAUCACUCAUCUCCGGCGAAGACGACGGCCAUAGAUCAUCCUCCUCUUUCUCAUCAAGAUCAAGGGACCUCCUCUCCUUGUUUGAGGUUUGUACCCUGACCCCAAGUGAGCAGCUGUACUGAAGAACAUCGAAUGCUUUGAAGUGCUCUAUCUAUCCUAACAUCACAAGUGCUCUGACAUUAGAAGUUGGCUUUAUCCGAAGACUUUGUGUUCAAUUGCUUGGUGCCUUUUGAUUCGUCGAUCAUUGAGAAGUUUUCACUCGGAGCAAGAAAGGUAUGUGACGCAGUCAUCCCUUUGACAUGGCCACUGAGCAAGCUUAAAUUAUGCAAAACUACUGCUCUUGUGAUGUUGUUUUUCUCUGCCUAGUAUUGAAAGUGGUCUUAUUUUAGUAUAUGAGAAAACUGAUGCUCUUAAUUAUGUACUUAGAUGUUACAAUAGAAAUGGUAUUAUCUUUGUAUUCACUCCUGAGCUUCCUAGGCUCCUAGCUAUUGGUUCUUUGCAGCCAUAAUAGAGAUGGUAUUAUUAUUGCUUUAUUUAUAAUUAUUAUCGUUGUAUUAAUUUUGUUUUCAUUGGGUAUAAUAGUGAUGGAUUCUAGGAGAAAUAAAAUUAUUAAGAUUAUCUCGCAAGAACAAGAAGAAGACGAUGAACUAUUUUUCUUUUUGGUUCCCGCUUUAUAUGCUUCCCUUUAUGAGGAAAAACAUCCAGUUCACACAUCAUCUUUAUCCGGGGCUGCAAAGGUUAAGGAAAUAUUAGAAGGCCACGAGAGUUGGUCUAGGGUUGAGUUUCGGAUGGAACCUGAGAUUUUCAAGUCUAUCGUGGAUUACCUUAGAAGAGAGAAUCUAUUGAAGGGCACAUCGCGUGUUGCUGUCGAGGAGCAGUUGGCAAUGUUCAUGUACAUGAUUUCGCACAAUGCUAGUAAUCAAGAUCUACAAAAAUACUUCCAACACAGCGCAGAAACAAUUCAUAGGAAGAUAAACAGGAUUUUUGACUUAAUUCCAACUCUAGCCCAAAGAUUUAUAAAGAUUCCAAGUUCACUCCAGCCCCACCCGAAGAUUGUUUCGAACAACCGCUAUUGGCCUUAUUUCCAGAACUGCAUUGGUGCUAUAGAUGGAACACAUAUCCCCAUCACUAUUGCUGAAGAUAAGGCCCCCCAUUUAGGAAUAGGAAAGGAACCCUCUCACAGAAUGUCAUGGUUGCAUGUGAUUUUGAUCUGAAUUUCACAUUUAUUUCAUGUGGGUGGGAAGGGUCCGCAUCAGAUGCAGGAGUUCUUCGUUCUGCUAUUAGCAAGGGGUUUCAUGUGCCAGAUGGAAAAUUUUAUCUCGUAGAUGGUGGAUAUGCAAACACGCCUUCUUUUCUUGCACCAUAUCGAGGAGUUCGGUAUCACCUGAGUGAAUUUAGGAGGCGGCGCUCAUCUAAUACGGGCUAUGCCGACCAUAGGGAGCUGUUCAACCAUACCCAUGCAAUCCUCCGGAACCACAUCGAAAGGAGCAUUGGUGUUCUAAAAAAACGUUUCCCUAUCUUAAAAGUGGGCAAUCACUACCCAAUAGAGUCACAAAUCAAGAUUCCGGCAGCAUGUGCUGUAUUCCAUAACAUCAUUAGAGCUCAAAGUGGUGAUGAGGCAUGGUUGGAUCACCAACCACCGUUAAUUCCACCAGAAACAUAUGUUGAUGUUCCAGAGGGAGAUGAUGUCAACCAACAUCAUCACAAUGAGGCAAACGAUGGAAACACUCUUAGAGAUCAGAUCGCGAUGCAAAUGUGGGCUGAUUAUAACAACUAGUCGGGCAUGAGUUUAUUUUGUAAUUUUUUUCUCACCUUUUCUUAGGUAAAGUAGUGGUAGAGUGAAAUUUAACUAGUACCCCAUUGUUGGUUCAAUAAUGUAGCUAUGGCAGCGCCUAGGGCAUCUUGGGACCAUGCAUACGAGAAAGGUCUUGUUGAUAUAAUGCUUGACCACAACAAUCCCAUUUAUCGAGGUCAAAAUGGGUGGACUGCUGAAGGGUGGACUAGAAUUACAAAUGCAUUCAAUCAGAAAUUUCCACUAGCUCAUUUCACCAAGCAACAAAUCCAAGAGAAGGAUAAGGAUUUAAAAGGAAAUUAUAAGGCAGUGAGAAACUCUCGGAAACAGAGUGGCACGGGAUGGGAUGAUACACUUUGCAUGAUCAUCGCUGAACCUGUAAUAUGGGAUAAACUUAUCAAGGAUAAUCUAAGGGUAAAGAAGUUCCGUUCAAAACCAUUCAUGCUCUUCAAGUCAUUGGCUACACUACAUGAAGGAAGUAUUGCUUCAGGAGACUUGAACUUUGUAUCAAUUCCGCAAGUGGAUCUCACAAGCGAUGCCAUUUCUCCUAUGGAUUCCUCUACUAAUGAUUUGAACUAUAUCUCCUCUACCAAUGUUGAUGAUGGUAUGUCCUCAUCUGAUCUACAAGGGCAAGGGGCAUCAAGAAGAGAUGAACCUGAAGCUACAACAUCUACCAACUCUGAACAAAAGGGAGCACUGCCUGUGAAAAAGAGGAAGCAAAGUCAGAUCGCUGUUGUACUUGAGGAUUACAUGGAUUUUCGGAAGAAACAGUCUGCAAAACUGGUUGACGAGUUGAAGGAAUCAAAGCAAGAUGACAUUUUCUCGAUUGGAAACUGUGUGGCUGCGCUAGAACCAAUGGAAGAUUUAUCAGUUGCAGAAAAAGCAAAGGCACUGCGGCUUUUCAAAUGCCCAAUGAAUCGAGAAAUAUUCAUCAAUACCAAGGACUCAAAUCUUCGACUUUAUUGGUUGAAGGAGGAGAUUUCUGAGAUGUAGAUAGCAUAAGGUUUACUAAAGCUAUCCGAUAAAAAUGUUCAAAGAAGUUGAUGGUGGAAGUUUUAGUAGAGUAACUAUUUCAACAACAAACAUUUUGCUAUGGAUCAGUCACACAUGGGCAUUUUUUAUGGAACAAAAUGCUUAUCAUUGCUGGAUUUCUAGCCGUAGUUUGUAUUUUUGUUGUUAAAACCAUGAUUAGCACACCUCUGUAGUGCUAUGUUAUUUGUGUGAAUCGAUAUGUAUAACUUGUGGUUAGCGUCUGUCAGUGGGUUGAAGUGUUAUUUUGCUGAUUACCUGUGUGUUUCAUGUUUUUUCCUUAAAAUUCGUGAAUUAUUAUCUAGUACUUUGUGUCAUUCCUGAAAUUUUUUUCAAGGAAAUAUACAUAAAUUUUGAUUACUUCUGAAUUGGUAUGAUGUUUCUGUAAAGAAACCGAGUCAUUUUCAUGAUUCCUGAAUAUUACAAUUUUGUUUAACCUUUUUCUGGACGUGAUCUCCACCCCUCCCCCUAUUAACCAAACUGGCAUGGUAAUCUCCCCGUGGUGUGGGAGAGGGCAUGGAAAUCCCCCCGAGGGGGAUUAGAGCC